CCUUCGGGUGGCAGCAGUGAGGAAUAUUGGUCAAUGGGCGUAAGCCUGAUCCAGCCAAGUCGCGUGAGGGAUGAAGGCUCUAUGGAUCGUAAACCUCUUCUAUAAGGGGAUAAAGUGCGGGACGUGUCCCGGUUUGUAUGUACCUUAUGAAUAAGGAUAGGCUAACCCCGUGCCAGCAGCCGCGGUAAUACGGAGGAUCCGAGCGUUAUCCGGAUUUAUUGGGUUUAAGGGGUGCGUAGGUGGGCUUUUAAGUCAGCUGGGAAAUCCUCUGGCUCAACCCUAGAAUUGCCGUUGAAACUGGGAGGCUUGAGUAUGUUUGAGGGAGGUGGAAUGCGAGGUGUAGCGGUGAAAUGCGUAGAGAUCAGGCAGAACCCCGAUGGCGAAGGCAGCCUCC
rnacentral:rRNA from 1 species